UACGUAGGGUGCAAGCGUUGUCCGGAAUUAUUGGGCGUAAAGAGCUCGUAGGCGGUUUGUUGCGUCGGCUGUGAAAUCCCGAGGCUCAACCUCGGGUCUGCAGUCGAUACGGGCUAGCUAGAGUGUGGUAGGGGAGAUCGGAAUUCCGUGGUGUAGCGGUGAAAUGCGCAGAUAUCAGGAGGAACACCGGUGGCGAAGGCGGAUCUCUGGGCCAUUACUGACGCUGGAGGAGCGAAAGCGUGGGGAGCGAACAGGA
rnacentral:rRNA from 1 species